CAUAAUUUGGCAUCUGAAGCUCAUCUAUUGACGUUAGCUUCCAUUUUUGCUGGUCGCUCGGUGUCGGCACUGACGGCUUGACCAGCUUCUUCCACUGUAUUUCCACCUUCAUGCUUGGAUUGCCUCUCAAGAUAUGUGUAGAAACGAGGAUGAUGAAUAUGGUAUUGCACGAGUUCUCCAGUGGUUUUAUAGAGCGCUCCAACCCUUGCCUCUCUUUACACGGGUAAUAAAACCUCGUAAAAAUAUCUCGGAAACGAGAGUCACGCUUCCCC
rnacentral:lncRNA from 1 species